GGGGUGGGGACGGGGGCGGUGGAGCUGGAAGAUCCUGCUUCCUGAGGAUCCAGCCUCAGAUUAUUGGCCCAUAUCCAGCCCGUCACCACCUCCAAGCACCAGUUCAGCAUUUCAACCACCUCUCCUAAUACGAAUGGAACAGAAAGGUAGAGCUGGGUGUCAUUGGCAUAUUGAUGGCCCCUCUUUCCAAAUCUCCUGAGGACAUGUCCCAGUGGCUUCAUAUAGAUGUUAAGAAGCAUGGGGGACAAGAUGGAGCCCUGCAGAACCCCACAGGACAAUUCCCAUGGUGCUGAGCAAUAGCGUCCUAUUUUUGGGAAGCGGCCCUGGAAUUAUGAGCAGAACCACUGAAGCACUGUGCCCCCAACCCUCACCGCCCUGAGACACUCCAGAAGGAUACCGUGGUCAACAGUAUCAAAAGCUGCUGAAAAAUCAAGAAGAACGAGCAAGGUUGCAUUCUCCCGUCUCUCUCCCAACAGAAGUCAUCAAUCAGGGCGACUGAGGCAGUUCCAGUGGCCAGGCCUGAAGCAAGACUGGAAUGGAUCCAAGUGAUCCGUUUCCUCCAAACAUGCUUGAAGCUGAACCGUCACCACCUUCUUGAGCACCUUGACCAAAAAGGGGGUAUUUGUCACUGGACGAUAGUUGUUUGCUGGGGCCAGGAAGGUCCUCUUAAGAAGGCACCGCACUGCCACCUCCUUCAAGGCAGAUGGUACCUCCCACUGCUCCAGUGAAACAUUAAUCACUCCCUGGACCCACCCAGUUAACCCCCUGUGGCUAGCUUUAAGUAGCAAAGGUGGGCAAGGGUCAAGGGAGCAGGUGGACAGUCGUACUUUUUGAGCAGCAUGUCCACAACCUCUGGCCGCACAAAUAAAAAACUGAUCCAGUGCAGAUGCAUCAGACUGAGCUCUGGACACCUCCAUUAGACUUACUCUAACCGAGGCGUCCAAAUCUGAGCGAUUUUGUCCCUGAAGUGCCUUGCAAAGUUGUUCCAGCAGGCCUCUGAGAAUGUCAGAGUGAUGCUCUCUUGGCCAGAUGAUAACAGCUCUGCUGGGCAGCUACCUGCAGACUGCAAUUGCAGAUGCAAUUGUGGCAGAGAAGUAAGCUUUCUUUGCCGCUGCCGCUGCCACAUGGUCAGCACGAUGGUGCAGCCUUACCCAUGUUUGGUCAGGUUCAGACAGAGAUUUACGUCACCUGCACUCCAGCUGCUGACACUCCUGUUUCAUCGCAUGCAGGUCACCAGAAUACCAAGGUGAACCAUGCACUCCACAGCAAUGGUGGGGGCACUCAGGAGCAAUUGCGUCAAUGGCUCUACGCAUCCCACCAUUCCACAGUAAGACAAGGGCCUUGACAGGAGUACCAGCCAUUUAAGCUGAAAAAUCCCCCAUAGCAGUCAGGAAUCCAUCAGAUUCUGUAAGUUUCUGAGGGCAGACCAUCUCAAUGGGUCCCCCACUCUUUGAGAGUGGGGUAGCUACAUUCAGCCCAAACCUUACUAAGGAAUGGUCCAUCCAUGACAACAGACUCGCAGCGGGUCCCCAAAUGAACGGGGUGUUACCAAUCCACUCUGUAGCAAAGACCAGAUUGAGGUCUGCCUGACACAGCUGUCAUGGAGACCAUGAAGUCCUGAGCAACCUCUGCAUGGAUAUUGCAGUCUUCCAACAUCCCCACCCACAGGCAACUCCCAAAACAUCCCCCACCUGUCAAGAAUAGCUAAGUUUGGUCAAGCUAAAAUGGCUCAACCAGUGGGAAUUCUCUGCAGAGACCUCCAGGAUACUCUGUGUUGGGGAAACCCAAGUGUUCUAGCGCCAGACAGCUGCAAAUUGCUAACGUCAAAAAGAUACAGCUGAGUCCUAUCUGUUAUCUCUUAUCUGCUUUCUGAGAUCAAAGUCAGGAGUUUGGGUAUUGCAAAUCAGGGACUGCUUGGUGUGACUGUCUAGCCCUCCUUAUCUUCAAAGAAGGUGAUCAUGGAAGGGGUGCCUAGGAUGGCUAAUUGGCCCCCUCCCUGUUGCCAGCUAAAUCCCAUAAAAUGAAGGUGAUCCUUCAGUUACUCGUUCCCCAUUUCAUCCGUCUCGUUCCAUCUAUGGAUUUCAGUCAAAGCCUUUGGGAACUAGGCUAUCAGACUACAAAGUGCGCAUUAGCAAGGAUAGGCAAGCUUUGUUAUUUUUCUUUGUCUGUUUUGAACCUCUCACAGUGUUAUGUAAAUGUAUUUCUUGCUCAGCCCAGUUGUGGGUAAUUGGCUUUAAAGGAAAGUAAUGCUGCUCUCUUUUUUACAUGUAUCUUUCUUUUCUUUUUAAAUAAACUACCUUUUCUUCA